rnacentral:rRNA from 1 species
CAGCGCCACGAGUGGGAAUCACGAUUAUUGGGCCUAAGGCGUCCGUAGCCGGUUUGAUAAAUUUUUAGUGAAAUCGUUUUGCUUAACAAAACGGCGUGCUAAAAAGACUGUCAAACUAGGAACCGGAAGGAGUCAGAGGUAUGCUGGGGGGAGCGGUAAAAUGCAAUAAUCCUCGGUAGACCACCUGUGGCGAAGGCGUCUGACUAGAACGGGUCCGACAGUGAGGGACGAAAGCCAGGGGAGCAAACCGGAUUAGAUACCCGAGUAGUCC